GCCAACUACCCCGAGGAGGAGCCGAGCCUGCCCCGUGCCAGCUACCCCGAGGAGCAGCUGAGUCUACCCGUUGCUACCUACCCGGAGGAGCUGAUGCUGCUCGAGACCGCCGGCGACGCUAGCCCGACCCAGGUUGCAUUGGUAUCUCUGGGCUCAGAUGGCUUCAAAACCAGAUGGCAAGUGAAGUUUUUGCAGUUUUGACCCAACAGCUGACUGAAAGGACACAACAGACACCCCUAAACCUUCACCUAGGAGAUGGUGCUGGCUGUCAUGCCUGCAGACAGCUCACCCCAUUCUAGCAUACCCCUACCUGCUCAGCCAUCCGCUCAGCGUAGCUUGCUACCAGAGUAACCAUCCACAUUCCAUCCCCUCUGCUACCGCACAGAGGACAAAAGCUACAGAACUGACCAAAGAUCUGGACUCUUCACAUAGAGAUUUAAGACUCGGCUCAAAUUCAAGCCAGGUGCAAACAGAUCUGGACCCUGCUGAACAUCAAACAGAACCAGCGGAAGGAGGAUUACUGGGCUGCCUGACCUGGAAUACAGAACAGCACCACAAGGGAUUGGAGUUAAGAUCGGGGGAGUCCAGCAAGCAAGAACUAUUGGGGCAACAAAGCAAAAUACUAGCCAGCUCCAUAUUUUAAAAGGCAGCUGCGUGGUUCCCACAAGGGCACAGUCUUGGCACAAGCAAAUCCAGACCCAGCACGUUACAGUGAUAGGAGUUCAUCCUGUGCAGCUUAGGAUGCUGGCGGCAGUGUCAUGCCAAACAGAGCAGACGGGCCGGGAGACGACUAGGUGCAAUGCCUAGUGCCCGGGUCUCCUAGCUGGA